UUAUGUGUUUCCUUUUCUUUUCUAAGUGUGAAUGCAACACAAUGCGCGUGGUGGCCGUGUAUACCUACCACUACCAAUACCACCGCGUAGCUUUUCUGUUAUUUUAAAAUAAAGAGACCAAACAACCGUUAUAUUAAUAUAGUUUUUUGCGAGACUUAUUGACUCGAGGUCUGCGCUCUAAGCAUAAAAAUAAGAAUGAAGAAGGGCAAUUCAUUGGAGUGCAGCCCCAGCGAGGUGUUAUGGCCUAUUCUUCCUUCAUCUACGAUGUGUUCAUCAGUUUGAUAACCUCUGAUACUCGAUUCGGUUUCAGUGGCGAUCUCUACACAGCUCUCUCUGACAAAGGAAUCCUCACCUUCAUUGAUGACGGACUUCCCCGUCCGGAUGACAUCAUGUCAACAGUUAAUUCCAAAGCAAUUGAAAGUUCCAGGAUUGCUAUUGUUGUGAUCUCUGAGAACUAUGCUUCUUCUUCGUUUUGCUUGGAUGAACUCAUGUACAUCCUUAAGCGCCGCGAGGAAAAGGGUCUGUUGAUAUGGCCUGUUUUCUAUCAAGUGGAACCUUCUGAUGUGCGGUAUCAGAAAGGGGGUUUUGGAAAAGCUUUUGCCAGUCAUGAGGAAAGGUUCGGCAGUGAUAGUGCGAAAGUGAGGAAAUGGAGGAACGCUCUGAAACAAGUAGCAGAUUUGAAGGCCUUCCAUUUUUUCAAACACGGGUUGGGGAACAAUUUGCUCAAGUUUAGGAUGACAGCUAAAGAUUUUAUGUUGACAAGCCAAUUCUUUUGGGUUGGAAAAAGAUUAUAGAAGUGUUUAACAAAUCGAAAAUGCCGGACAAAGAAAAAAAUGUUCAAACUCUCAGUGAUGUAAAUUUUACAAUUGUGAAAUUCAAUAGUUUUUUACCUUUUUUUCAAAUUAUAUUCUUGUCAUUUUUCAUGUGUAUUUUUUUUAAUAUUUUACAUUUUUUAGUUUACAGUUUAUGCGAAUUUCUCUUAAACUGUAAAACUAUAUGUUCAUAAUUUGAAAAAAAAAAUUAAAAAAGGCAAUUCCCCUCUUAAGAAUAUGACUGUAGGUUCUAAAUAUAAAAAUAGUGCCGUAAUAAAAGUAAAAUUCAAUAAAUGAGCAAUUUAGUAAAAAAAUUACUACAAUGUUCCAUCAAAGCAAAAGGGCGUGUCAUUACUCUUAUUUCUUCAUUUUUAAGUACACCGUAUUGGCUAUUAGACCCAAAAAAAACACGAAAUUGGCUUAGAUGGAGAUGGUGCUCUGGGAACCACAUUGGCUAUAACUUCAAUGAGAGUAGGAGACCAAGUAAAACAGCAAUGUGAGAAGGACGCUUUGAGGGACUUGAUGUCCAUAAUGUAGGUAUUGAUCUCUGCUACUCCAACCUACACUCUCUAGUCACUAUUAUAGCAAAAGUUUGUUUUUAGAUUUAUUCAAUAAAUGAUGUAUGUUACCAUUUUAAUGACCACAUACAUCAUUUAUUGAAUGAAUCUAAAAAACUUACUUUUACUUAUAAUAGUGAUACGAGGGUUAAAGUGUGAGUGCAUCACAAUGCGCGUGGUGGCGGUCUAUACCUACCAUUACCUUAAAAUAAACCAAACAACCGUUAUAUUAAUAUAGUUUUUCGGAAGACUUAUUGACUUGAGGUCUGCGUUCUAAGCAUAAAAUUAAGAAUGAAGAAGGGCAAUUCAUUGGAGUGCAGCCCCAGCGAGGUGUUAUGGCGAGUCGAUCUUCCUCCUCCUCUUCCUUCACCUACGAUGUGUACCUCAGUUGCAGAGCUUCUGAAUCUGAUACUCGAACAUUGGGUUUCAGUGGCAAUCUCUACAAAGCUCUCUCUGACGACAAAGGAAUCCUCACCUGCUUUUUUGACACACUUCGCAGUGGGGAUGAAAUCAUGUCAUCACUUUACAAAGCAAUUGAAAGUUCCAGGAUUGCCAUUGUUGUGAUCUCUGAGAAUUAUGCUUCUUCUUCAUUUUGCUUGGAUGAACUCGUCUACAUCCUUAAGCGCCGCGAGGAAAAGGGUCUGUUGAUAUUGCCUAUUUUCUAUAGAGUGGAACCUUCUGAUGUGCGGUAUCAGAAAGGGAGUUUUGCAGAAGCUUUUGUCAGGCUUGAGAAUAGUGAGUUAGUGAUGAAAUGGAGGAACGCUCUGAAACAAGUAGCAGCUUUGAAUGCCUUCCAUUUCAAACGCGGGAGUGGAAAUGAAAGGGACUUCAUUAUGAUUGUCGUUGAAGAAGUCUCUAAGAUGAUUGUUUCUCAAGUUAUGUUACGGGCUAAAGGGCGAGCUGAGAUGGUGUGGAGACUUGUUGGUCUUGCAUCAAGUGUAGUUGGCAUGUUAUGUCAUGCUUUGAGCCCUUCUUUCACACGUUUAAUUCGUGGGUGGAACUUUUUGAAGCUUUCUCUUUACUGUGUAUUUUUCCUGGUGGUAUGUGCCUCCAUUUUGUUUGGGAAGCGGUUUCCACUCUUAAGACAGCAAAGUAUUUUCAGAAGCUACGUGAUCUUUGCAGUUUUGAUUAUCAUCUCUGUGUACUCAUUCUUAUACGACAAAGCUGUAAAUGGGAAACCUGAAGUAACGAGCUUGGUUGCUAAUGCUGCAUUUACUUUGAUGUCACUGAGCUUGUCCAAACUGAUCAAGUCUGGAUAUGAGAUUGGUAUGUUUGCCUAUUUCCUAGGCUGCUUAACCAUUCAACUGGUGACCAUCAACUGGGCGCUGAUUUUGGUCGCCAUAGUCUUCGGUUGUCCACUCUUUAUUAUGCAUUCCUCUUCAGAUUCCCCACUAGAUGCUGGUAAUGAAGGUCAACUUUUCCAUUCCUCUUUGGAUUCCCAACCACAUGUUGGUAGUGCUGGUCAACAUGUCGUAGACAUACCAAAUGAAGAAAGCAAACUAGUGUCCUUUGAUAGUGGUUACGAUAGUGAUUAUGAUUAUUAUGGAAGUGCAGACCCGACGCAAAUAGGAUUUUGACACCGGGGUGGCUAAAGCUCGAAACGACUCCACAUGUGUAAAUCAAUAAAUAAAACUGAUUUUUUUUAUAAAAAGAAGAAAUAAGUAAUAUAAUUAGUUUGAGUAUAAGAGAGACUAAUUGACUCAUAAAUUUGUUAAAACUGAAAGUCCGAAUAAAUAAAAAUCCAAAACAUGUGUUUGUCUUUUUAUGAUAUUACUUAAUGUAUAAAUAAACUAACUUGUCAAACAAAUCAAUAUACUUGUUCCUAGUUUAGUGUAAGUCAUAUUAAAUUUGUUCUUAAUUUUGGAGGGUUUAACUAUGUAAAAUCUAAUCGAAGAACUAUUUGGUUCUACAAGUUAUGGUUCAACUCUAGGGAAGACUACCCAGGAUUGCAUGAUCAAGAUGUUCUCAACAAGAUCAAAACAGACCCUCUCAUAUCUCAGAAGAAGUUGAAGAUUAGAUUUCUCAACACACGCUAUUUUGGAGGGUUUUGUCAGUCUAGCAAGGAUUUUAAGAAGGUCUCAACUAUGCAUGCCAAUUGCUGUGUGGGUUUAGAAAACAAAGUGAAUGAUCUUAGGAUUUUGCUUGAGGAUUGGAGGAAGUAUAUGGCAUUGUCUGAAGACCAGAGAAAUAAAUCACAUGCUUCCUGGAGUGUACCACAAACUUGCAGGACAUCCUUUGAACGUACAAGACAAAGGAGGCAGGGUAAAGGGAGGUUGUGACAGAGAUUGCAUAUUACUGUGUGAUGCUUGUAUCAAUAGGUAUGGGAAAUUAUCUGCAAUUAUAGGCUACCUUAUAAAAGCAUUGAACAUUAAUUUUACAUUUGAUUUAUUUGCUGUAAGUUGUAACUAGCUUGUUGUCUUUCACUCCCCAACAAAAGAAAAGAAGAUGCCUUGUCUAAAA